rnacentral:rRNA from 1 species
GAUGAACGCUGGCGGCGUGCCUAAUACAUGCAAGUCGAGCGAACAGACGAGGAGCUUGCUCCUCUGACGUUAGCGGCUGACGGGUGAGUAACACGUGGAUAACCUACUUAUAAUACUGGGAUAACUUCGGGAAACCGGAGCUAAUACCGGAUAAUAUAUUGAACCGCAUGGUUCAAUAGUGAAAGACGGUUUUGCUGUCACUUAUAGAUGGAUCCGCGCCGCAUUAGCUAGUUGGUAAGGUAACGGCUUACCAAGGCGACGAUGCGUAGCCGACCUGAGAGGAGGAUCGGCAACAUGGGAACGGGAACACGGCCCAGCCGACUAAGGGAGGAACAAGAAGGGAAUAUUAGGAAAGGGGGGCAAGCCUGACGGAGCGAGGCCGCGUGGGAGAAGAAGGCCUUGGGAUCGGAAAGCCCGUUUUUUGGGAAAAAAAAAAUGUAUACGAAAAAAGAGCGUUAUUGACGGUACCUAAUAAAAAAGCAACGGCUAACUACGUG